UACAGAGGUGGCAAGCGUUGUUCGGAAUUACUGGGCGUAAAGGGCGCGUAGGCGGCCAUCUAAGUCAGACGUGAAAUCCCCAGGCUUAACCUGGGAACUGCGUCCGAUACUGGCAGGCUUGAAUCCGGGAGAGGGAUGUGGAAUUCCAGGUGUAGCGGUGAAAUGCGUAGAUAUCUGGAGGAACACCGGUGGCGAAGGCGGCAUCCUGGACCGGCAUUGACGCUGAGGCGCGAAAGCUAGGGGAGCAAACGGG
rnacentral:rRNA from 1 species